CUUUAAUAUGUUUCCUGGCUGUGUCUCCAUAGGCACAGUGAACAGAUGCUCAUGGCAACUUCUGCUUUAGAAGCCUCACAGGAAACUGGGGAGGGAAUCAUGUUCCAGCAGUGAAGAACAAAGGCAGUUUUUUGGGGAUUUACAUACGCCAUCUCCUACAAAGUUAAAAAAUUUUCUUUUCCUGAAAGACUACAAUCAAGAUACAAACAUGUACAAUGGGUGAAGUGGAUUAACAAGUUUGUGUCAUGUUAAUUAUAUAUUUCAAUAAAGAUAAUUUUGGAACUAGU
rnacentral:lncRNA from 1 species